AUUGAACGCUGGCGGAAUGCUUUACACAUGCAAGUCGAACGGUAGAGGGGGCAACCCCUCGAGAGUGGCGAACGGGUGAGUAAUAUAUCGGAACGUGCCCAGUCGUGGGGGAUAACGUAGCGAAAGUUACGCUAAUACCGCAUACGAUCUAAGGAUGAAAGCGGGGGAUCGCAAGACCUCGCGCGAUUGGAGCGGCCGAUAUCUGAUUAGGUAGUUGGUGGGGUAAAGGCCUACCAAGCCUACGAUCUGUAGCUGGUCUGAGAGGACGACCAGCCACACUGGGACUGAGACACGGCCCAGACUCCUACGGGAGGCAGCAGUGGGGAAUUUUGGACAAUGGGGGCAACCCUGAUCCAGCCAUGCCGCGUGCGGGAAGAAGGCCUUCGGGUUGUAAACCGCUUUUGUCAGGGAAGAAAUCCUUUGAACUAAUACUUCGGAGGGAUGACGGUACCUGAAGAAUAAGCACCGGCUAACUACGUGCCAGCAGCCGCCGUAAUAC
rnacentral:rRNA from 1 species